AAAGAAACUGAGUCUCAGACAGGAAGGUAUUCACAUAUGUGAGCAUGGUGCUAGCAAAUCGGAGGCUGGAGUUUGCACCCCAGUUAGUCUGAUUCCAAAUCCAGUGUUCUUCCCAGUAUUCCCCAGCUGCUCCAUCCAGAGACCUGCAGGAUUCCUUGAGCAGAACCCUGCUUAGAAGGUGGGGUCUGAUCCCGACAGAAAAGAAUUGUGUUGAUCUUUGGGCUCAGCUUAAAAUUCAGUCAUCUGACUGAGCUCUUCUCUGAUUUUGAUUGCCUUCUGAAGAUGGAUUUGGGACAACACAGUUAAAAAGCAGCAGCAUUUGGUCUUGGGAAUGCCACUUUAAAAUCCCUUAAAAAUAAAUGUUGAGGCUCUUUAUCUUCAUUGAAAUCCUGUCUCCACGGCUCUGGGUGGGGGAGCCCCUCAGAGCCUGCUGCCUGGGCUGAGCUGGGAGGUGGGCAUUUCCCUGGGCAACUGGAAUGCAGUCAUGGAUACUGCUUGUAAGGGCUUUAAUUACAAGUUUUCUGGCAUAAAAGUUUGCUUUUAAAAAUAGAAACCGUGCCAGCAAAUAUACGUAAUAUUUGCUUUGAAGUACUGAAUUCCCAGAAUUAGGUUUCGGCUUUUCCUCCAUGGAGGGCUAUAGAUCCUUGGAGUCCCUCUUGCUCCUCCGAGGGAACCACAUUAUUUAGUUCUACUCUCCAAUUCCUGACUUCACCUUUUCCUCACUUUUAAUUUUAAACUCUGCAGCUGUAAAGUGAUAGCAGUGGUCCCAUCUAUGAAGUCAGAAGCUCAGGUCUGUGUCCCAGCAACUUUGGUUAGUAACUGUGUGACCUUGAGCAGCUCUCCUAACCUUUCAGAGGCUUCUUCUCUCCCUCUGUAAAGAAUAAGGGUGUGGUGGCUCACACCUGUAAUCCCAGCACUUUGGGAGGC
rnacentral:lncRNA from 1 species